rnacentral:lncRNA from 1 species
UAGCUCAUGAAAUUAUAAUAUCCCGUCUAACUCCUUCAGAUGUGAACGAAAUCGUUUGCGCAUGCAUUCAGGACAUUUAUAUGAUCACUCGAUCUUGAUCAAAGUAGAUUUUGGGUGAAUGAUGACCCAUUCCAUUUACUGAUUUAACCUGUUCAAAUUAGUCCAACCUGCUUAUGUGACACCCUUUACGAUUUAACUCGAGGCAAGACUUUUGAUUUGAUUCUAUAGGGGUUAGUGCGACUUCAAAAUUUCCAAAUCUGAGUACCCAAGUUUAGAGAAAUAUCAAUUCCAGUGGCUCUAUACAAAUGGGUUACUUGGAGUAUUUGUUUUUGUCUGAACUCUAAAUUUAGCUCAUGAAAUUAUAAUAUCCCGUCUAACUCCUUCAGAUGUGAACGAAAUCGUCUGCGCAUGCAUUCAGGACAUUUAGAUGAUCACUCGAUCUUGAUCAAAGUAGAUUUUGGGUGAAUGAUGACCCAUUCCAUUUACUGAUUUAACCUGUUCAAAUUAGUCCAACCUGCUUAUGUGACACCCUUUACGAUUUAACUCGAGAAGCAGGACUUUUGAUUUGAUUCUAUAGGGGUUAGUGCGACUUCAAAAUUUCCAAAGCUGAGUACCCAAGUUUAGAGAAAUAUCAAUUCCGGUGGCUCUAUACAAACGGGUUA